AUAACUGUAUUAUUAAUUAAUUUAAUCAACUUUUUAGCAUACUUAGCUGACACGCACACAUCUAGACGAUUUCCAAAUGAUGAUCAAGAAAUCGUUUGUACAAAAGAGGCCUGCGGACAAAACUGUGGAGGAGACUGCUGUUGUUUAGUGCCAAAGCAGAAAUCCAAACGAUCUUCGGAUAUAUUUGAGGUUAACACUAUAUUUGCAAUGUAGUGAUAAA